AUUACCGCGGCUGCUGGCACGUAGUUAGCCGGGGCUUCUUAGUCAGGUACCGUCACUAUCUUCCCUGCUGAUAGAAGUUUACAUACCGAGAUACUUCUUCCUUCACGCGGCGUCGCUGCAUCAGGGUUUCCCCCAUUGUGCAAUAUUCCCCACUGCUGCCUCCCGUAGG
rnacentral:rRNA from 1 species